rnacentral:rRNA from 1 species
GAUGAACGCUGGCGGCGUGCCUAAUACAUGCAAGUCGAGCGAACAGACGAGGAGCUUGCUCCUCUGACGUUAGCGGCGGACGGGUGAGUAACACGUGUAUCACCUACCUAUAAGACUGGUAUAACUUCGGGAAACCGGCGCUAAUACCGGAUAAUAUAUUGAACCGCAUGGUUCAAUAGUGAAAGACGGUUUUGCUGUCACUUAUAGAUGGAUCCCCGCCGCAUUAGCUAGUUGGUAAGGUAACGGCUUACCAAGGCUACGAUGCGUAGCCGACCUGAGAGGGUGAUAGGCCACACGGGAACUGAGACACGGUCCAGACUCCUACGGGAGGCAGCAGUAGGGAAUCUUCCGCAAUGGGCGAAAGCCUGACGGAGCAACGCCGCGUGAGUGAUGAAGGUCUUCGGAUCGUAAAACUCUGUUAUUAGGGAAGAACAAAUGUGUAAGUAACUAUGCACGUCUUGACGGUACCUAAUCAGAAAGCCACGGCUAACUACGUG